rnacentral:rRNA from 1 species
UACGUAGGGUGCAAGCGUUAAUCGGAAUUACUGGGCGUAAAGCGUGCGCAGGCGGUUCGUUGUGUCGGCCGGUGAAAGCCCCGGGCUUAACCUGGGAAUGGCCGUCGAAACUGGCGAACUGGAGUGUGGCAGAGGGGGUGGAAUUCCGCGUGUAGCAGUGAAUGCGUAGAUAUGCGGAGGAACACCGAUGGCGAAGGCAAUCCCCUGGACCUGUACUGACGCUGAGGAGCGAAAGCGUGGGAGCGAACAGG